GCUUCAUCAAGGAAAAAAUCCCAGAGAAGUAUUGUUCCUCAAUUCAGCUAGUGGAACUCCACUUACCAAACUUGCCUGAACUUCCUCCUCAUUACCACACAACCAAUGGCCUUCCAAAACAUCUCAAACCAACUCUCUUUAAAGCCCUCAAGAUGGCCAGACCACAAUUUCACGAAAUCUUGAGUGCUAAGAAACCUGAUCUUUUGAUAUAUGAUAUAAUGCUCUUAUGGUCAUCUGUGGUUGCAACUACUCUCAACAUCCCAUCAAUAAAAUUCUACACUGUAAAUGCAGCUAUAUUUAGUUACUUUUUCCAUUUUUAUUACAAACCAGGAGAGCAAUUCCCUUUUCCAGCUCUGUAUCUCACGGAAUACGAGCAAGGCAAAAUGACACAUGAAGUUGUUAAUGAUGCGGAGGAAGAAGUUGACAGAGACAAUAUUACCGAAAAUGACAAGUUUGUGUUGGUGGAUAGCUCUAGAGCAAUAGAUGGAAAGCACAUAGAUUAUAUUGAUGGAACAGGCGAAGCAAAGGUUGUACCUAUCGGGACACGAUUUCAGCCAUAUGAUGUGAACCGAAGUGGCAAUGAUAUGGAGGAAACAGAACUGAUGAAAUGGCUUGGCAAGAAAAAGGAGCAUUCAACUAUUUAUGUCUCUUUUGGAAGUGAGUAUUUCUUAUCCAAGGAAGAAAUGGAAGAGAUAGCUUAUGGAUUAGAGCUCAGCAAUGUUAAUUUCAUAUGGGUUGUUAGGUUUCAAAAAGGAGAACAAGCUAAGCUUGAAGACGCACUUCCUCGAGGUUUUAUAGAAAGAAUUGGAGAAAGGGGAAUGUUAGUUGAAGGAUGGGCUCCACAGCAAAGAAUUCUGAAGCAUCCUAGUAUUGCCGCAUUCGUAACUCACUGUGGUUGGAAUUCAUCACUCGAGAGCAUAGAAUUUGGUGUUCCAAUCAUUGCCAUACCCAUGCUUUAUGAUCAACCUCUGAAUGCUAGGUUGUUGGGGGAAAUUGGCGUAGCCGUUGAAGUCUCAAGAGAUGGAAAUGGGAAUCUUGACAGAGCGAAUAUAGCUGAGAAUAUUAAACAUGUGAUUGGUGAUGAAACAGGGAAGUUUUUGAGAAAGAAGAUGAGUAGUCUUGGUGAGAAUGUGAGGUCGCGACGAGAGGAAGAGAUGGACGGAGUUGUUGAGGUGAUAGCAUUGCUAUGUGACAAGAAUCAGUCCAAGAAUGUCACUUAACAUAGAAAUGACAUGAGUUCGUAUCCCUCUUUUGCAAAUUUGUGUGUGUGAUUUCUAAUUUUCAGUUAUAAGUUUCCAGCUAUUUUUAGCUAUUGUUUGAUACUUGUAUCGUUCGACCAUUCUGUAACUGAAUAAAGAAACUUUAAUUUGCUUGGUGUGUCAAAAUAGUGUUUUGUCAUAUAAUUUGUCAUUAUUUGACAAAUAAUUCAAAUUUCAAAACAAUGUGUUAUGUACAUGUACAGCUGACGUGCACAUGGGGAUGAACACAGGUACGGGCGAGAUGGGUUUUGUCUUAUGUGGGGCAGGACGGAUCUAGCUUACUGCUGGGGGUGCCGCAGGGUGGGUUGAAAUUUCUUUAAAGAAUUUAGGUGUUGUUUGGUAGAAUAUAUUGGCAAAACUAAUGUAUGUAUUAAUUAAUAGCACUAGUAAACCUUAUUUGAACCAUAUUAUUACUAUGCAUAAAUAAUGUUUGUAUUAAUUAUACAAUGUAUUGUGUAUUAAAGUGUGUAUUAGGAAUAUACAUCAUUUUUUAUAUAUUAGUAAUGCAACACUUUCAACACAUAUAUUAAUUUAUUAAAUGUCAUUAUUACCUCUUAAAUUAUUUUUCCUCAUUUUUCCACCAUAUCACGCUCCCUUUUCCCUUUUCCACCAUAAUAAAAAUUACUUCCUAUUUUUUAAGGUUACUGCAUCUUGUUUUUCUCGUUAAUCAAACUACUGUAUCUUCUUCUUCUCCUUAAUCAAACUUAUUUUAUCCCUAUUAAUUCUAUCAAGGUUAUUAAUUCUAUCUUGGUCAUUAUUUCUUUUUUGUACCCCUAUUUCACAGUACAGGAUGCAUCCUUCGAUAAGUCAGUUCCCAAAUUUAAUUUUCCAUCGUAGUCAAUGCUUCAUUCGUGCAAAUGAAGAUACGGACAUGAGGAAAACAAUUUUUGAUGUCUAGAAGGAACUCGAUCAACAGAGAAAAAGUGAAUAUAGCUGCUGCAUUUACAUCUAUUCUCGGAAAACAGGGGCCAAGGAAGGAUUUAAAGAAAGGAUAAUUUGAUAAAUAAAUAUCUUUUUACAAAAAUUAUAUAAAUAUAUAUUAUCUUUAAUAAAUCAAAUCAAAUAAUGUGUAAAAAAUAAUGGAUGUGUAAUUAAUACCAUCAUUAUUAAUACUUACAUUAAUAAUACAAGUAUUAUUAAUACACCCUAUUUAACAUUAUUAUUAUAUACUCUACCAAACGACCCCUUAAGUACGGGUGCAGCUUCGAAACCGGUACAUCAAUACUUCAGGUAAUUGCAUUUUAUUUUUCUCGCCAAAUCACUUGACUGCCAUUUGAUAUGUAUUUAUAAAAAAUGUUUUCUGCUCAAAUAAAUUUUUGGUUCUUUUUAUGCCUUCUCCUAGUGUUAUUCUAGGGACAAAAGAGUCAAUAACUUAGCCAAAGUUGAGCUUUUAUUCCCUGUUAUGAUUAGGCCACUUUAUUGUUCAAAUUACUUCCAGAUGCGUUAACUAAUCACUUUAUAUAAAUUUUUUUUUAAAAAACUCAAAGGUUGUAUGCCCGAAUGCACAGUUAUAACAAAGAAGUUUGAUUCUCACAAUUCAAAAUUUAUCAUAUAAAUUAAGACGGAGGAAGUACUAAUUAGCGGUUCAAACUCACCAUUAUUUUACUUAACAGAAAAUUGAGAAGUAAGAUGAUUUGCACAUAUUUGUUGCUUUGAUUUUGAACAUUUUAGCGUGAGGUAAGGGGCAUAUAUUUAGCUGAACUUAUUAGACUCUUUUUUGGGCAUGAAGUUUGUGUGUAAAGUUUUGCUUCUUCGAAUUUUAACAUUUAAACACACGGUUCGCAACCCAAAUCUAACUUAAAUUUGAACACAAAUUUCAUAUUUCGUAAACAACAAAUCUCAAUUAUCAAUUUGGUAAAACAACAAAAAUAACUAAAAUUUUUAAAUUUUUUUAAAGACCCUCGAAACAAAGCAAAAAUAUAUUACAAUUAUUUAAAUCAAUUAUUCAUUGUUGUAGAUUAAAAUGGUGGGAAAAAAUUGUGAAAUAUUUUAAAAAGAUUUACUAUUAUUGCAAAUUAAAAUGGAAGGAAAAAGAAUGGUGAAAUACUUUGUGAGAAAAAUUGAGGGGUAUUAAGAUCAUUUAAUAAGUUAAUGGAUGUAUUAAAGACUUUGCAUUAUUAAUGCAUAGAAAAUGGGUGAUAUUAGUAAUACACACCUUAAUAUACAAUAAAGUAUAUAACUAAUGCUUGCAUUAGUUAUACAUUGAUUAAAAAUUAUACCAAACAAGAUAUUCAUAAUACACAUUAAUUAAUACAUGUGUUAUUUUUGCCAAUACACUCUACCAAACAACCCCUAAAUGAUUAGCUUAGAAAAUUCGUGUUAUAUGUGGUGGAUCACUGGGGGCCUUGUCAUAAUAUAGGUGCAAACUGCCAGAAAUACCCUUACUUUUUCUAUCUUUUCUAAGGUCUUUUCUCCACAAAUUUGAUUUAUAAAGAGCUUCCUUUACACACAAAACACAGUUUACAAACGGAAGUCAUGGCUUCAGGUUCAGAACAUCGAAACUUGAGAAUUGUAAUGUUGCCAUACUUAGCUUAUGGCCACAUCACACCUUUCCUUGCACUAGCCAAGAAACUCUCAGAUAGAGGCUUCUCCAUUGACAUAUGUUCCACUCCAAUUAAUCUUAGCUUCAUCAAGGAAAAAAUCCCAGAGAAGUAUUGUUCCUCAAUUCAGCUAGUGGAACUCCACUUACCAAACUUGCCUGAACUUCCUCCUCAUUACCACACAACCAAUGGCCUUCCAAAACAUCUCAAACCAACUCUCUUUAAAGCCCUCAAGAUGGCCAGACCACAAUUUCACGAAAUCUUGAGUGCUAAGAAACCUGAUCUUUUGAUAUAUGAUAUAAUGCUCUUAUGGUCAUCUGUGGUUGCAACUACUCUCAACAUCCCAUCAAUAAAAUUCUACACUGUAAAUGCAGCUAUAUUUAGUUACUUUUUCCAUUUUUAUUACAAACCAGGAGAGCAAUUCCCUUUUCCAGCUCUGUAUCUCACGGAAUACGAGCAAGGCAAAAUGACACAUGAAGUUGUUAAUGAUGCGGAGGAAGAAGUUGACAGAGACAAUAUU
rnacentral:lncRNA from 1 species